UCAGCGCAAACCCCAUUUGAAAUAGAUGCUGUGAGUUUGUCAAAUGCUCGACAAGCUGCUAGAUUAGCGGCGCACAAACCAUGUUCGUCAACCAAGUUUGUUCAGUGGUCGUAA
rnacentral:rRNA from 1 species